CUCUGAUAAGCAGUUACUAAGAGACAAAAAGAAAUAAGUGUCCCUCACGUUAUUAUAUAGUUACAGCUUUGGACAUUUUAUGAAUUGAAAAACAAACUUUCAUCUCAUCGGCUGCUAUGUAAUCUUUUACUGGUUCUGGCUAGUAUUUUCUAGCUCACUUUAUGUACCCCUGUCUGCAGCCCUCAACUUCUUUCCUGAGACUAGAAGUUUUCUUCAUAGUUUUGGCUCUCACUCCGCUGAACCAGAUUUUCUUGGGAUUUAUUUAGAGCAUUCAACAACCACAGUACUGUUAAAUCUGAUCUUUCUUGACUUCCUUGUUGAUGUCUCUAUGUGGCGAGCUAGGCUGACUAAUGGAUUGGGUCUUGUAACUGGGUGAUCUGCAAGGCAAAGAAAGUUAAAAAGCAUCGGACCUUGUGCUUCAAGAUGCCUUUCGAUGGUCAAGUUAGUGUUGUAGCAAGAGGGAAAGCCAGAUAUAAGAUGAUAAUGGUAAAACAGAAUAGAGAUUAUACCUGAAUUAGUAUCUAUAGUAGAUCUUCAGCUGCCUGUUUGUGCCCAGAUCUACUGGUUGGCCUGUUGUGAUGUCUCAUAUUUCAUGGAGCUGUUCUAAGUAUUUCUUAGACCUUAAUUGGAUCUUGGUGUAUGUAGGUGUAGGUAUAACAUGGAUUAUUGAACAGAAGGAAAGGAACCAAAGUCCAAAGAUAAGAAUGAGAGAAGGGCGAAGACAAGUUAGAGAAGGAAAUUGAAGGCAAUAAAAAUAAUAGUAAUAAUGCUGCUAAUUGGAUUUGAAUUGGAGAACAAAUUCCAGGAAAUAUCUAAAGUAGAUUGAGAUUCAUAAGGAUUGACUUCGAAGUUUGUCUAACUUGCCAUGCACUUCUCUAAUGCUUUCCUUGGCUUCUUCUGGGUUUCUUUUAUUAAUCUCUCUUCUUCUUUGGGUUUUGGCUGUGAGGCAAUUUAUAAG
rnacentral:lncRNA from 1 species